GGCGAAGGCUUAAANUGCAGUCGACGGACUCAUAUUGAAACCUAGUGAUGUAUGAGUUAGUGGCGGACGGGUGAGUAACGCGUGGAGAACCUGCCGUAUACUGGGGGAUAACACUUAGAAAUAGGUGCUAAUACCGCAUAAGCGCACAGCUUCGCAUGAAGCAGUGUGAAAAACUCCGGUGGUAUACGAUGGAUCCGCGUCUGAUUAGCUGGUUGGCGGGGUAAAGGCCCACCAAGGCGACGAUCAGUAGCCGGCCUGAGAGGGUGAACGGCCACAUUGGGACUGAGACACGGCCCAAACUCCUACGGGAGGCAGCAGUGGGGAAUAUUGCACAAUGGGGGAAACCCUGAUGCAGCGACGCCGCGUGAGUGAAGAAGUAUUUCGGUACGUAAAGCUCUAUCAGCAGGGAAGAAAAUGACGGUACCUGACUAAGAAGCCCCGGCUAACUACGUGCCAGCAGCCGCGGUAAUACGUAGGGGGCAAGCGUUAUCCGGAUUUACUGGGUGUAAAGGGAGCGUAGACGGCAGCGCAAGUCUGGAGUGAAAUCCCAUGGCUUAACCAUGGAACUGCUUUGGAAACUGUGCAGCUGGAGUGCAGGAGAGGUAAGCGGAAUUCCUAGUGUAGCGGUGAAAUGCGUAGAUAUUAGGAGGAACACCAGUGGCGAAGGCGGCUUACUGGACUGUAACUGACGUUGAGGCUCGAAAGCGUGGGGAGCAAACAGGAUUAGAUACCCUGGUAGUCCACGCUGUANACGAUGAUUACUAGGUGUUGGGGGACCAAGGUCCUUCGGUGCCGUCGCANACGCAUUAAGUAAUCCACCUGGGGAGUACGUUCGCAAGAAUGAAACUCA
rnacentral:rRNA from 1 species